AAAAGUUGUUUCGAUUAUUACAGGAUAACCAGUUUCUAUUAAGAAAAAGAAAUUUUAUUAAAGAAAGAAGGAAAUUUCUCUUUGUAAGUAUCCUACAAUAAGACCGUACCUAAACAACUAGAAUAAAAAAUGUAAAGACUGGAUUAUUUUUUAAUAUUAUGUUAUGCAUUUUUUUAAAAUGCUGAUCACAUUAAUUCAAAGAAAAAAUUUGAUUCAAGGAUAAACAUUUAACUUGUUUGUGAAGGUGUAACGUUCAUACAUUGAUGAGUUUAUCA
rnacentral:misc_RNA from 1 species